rnacentral:snRNA from 1 species
AGAUGUGGGGGUGAUUUGGCUGUGAUAAGUCAUGCCACCAAUUGCCAGGGUUGAUUUGGCUGAUCUGGCUGGCUAGGCAGGUGUCCCCUUCCUUCCUCACCACUCCAUAUCCAUCCCUCCCAAAACUGUGCACUUGCUGGAAGAGAAUGACUUUUCCCCAGGGAGGAGGAUCAUUAAUUGGUCAAGAGUAUACAAGUAGCUGGGCUUUCCAUCUGUAACCUCCAAAUGAGCACAAAACUCCAAUAACUUACUCCUUCUAAAAAUCUGUGAAAAGCUAAUAGAUGGACUGCUUCUUGGUUUUGACUGUAUGGUUUUAAGU